rnacentral:misc_RNA from 1 species
GAUGCUUGUUGAGCAAACUUUUCACGCUGCUUCAGAUUGAUUUCAUGUUCUCUGAUGUAAGAGGAUACGCAACAAGAAAAACAUCAUAGGGAAAACUUGGCAACAGUUCUGUCAUGUGUGCAAUAUCUACUAUAUAAAAAGAACGCAAGUUGCAAUUUAUGAUGAAUGGUAAAAUUGAAUUUCUUUCCCCCUUUACUUCUCUGUAGCAAACACUUACAUCAAAUAUUAUAAGUUUACCAUUGCCUUUUACAGCUUUGAUUUUGUACCUUCUUUAAAACCCUCAUUUAUUUAACAAUAUUAUGGAUUUACAAUUACAUAUUAUUACAAGUUUGCAGUUAACCUUUUAGCCUUUUAACUUCUUCUAAUGCUCUUACAACAUUUCAUAUUUUCCAUUACGUAAUAUUAGAAAAGUUAGUCAAUAUCUUUCAUUUUAAGAAAUAUUCAGACAGACCAUAAGUUUUUCAGCAAGACUCCAUUUG